GACGAACGCUGGCGGCGUGCCUAAUACAUGCAAGUCGAGCGCAGGAAAUCAUCCGAACCCUUCGGGGGGACGUUGAUGGAAUGAGCGGCGGACGGGUGAGUAACACGUAAAGAACCUGCCCUCAGGUCUGGGAUAACCACGAGAAAUCGGGGCUAAUACCGGAUGGGUCAUCGGACCGCAUGGUCCGAGGAUGAAAGGCGCUUCGGCGUCGCCUGGGGAUGGCUUUGCGGUGCAUUAGCUAGUUGGUGGGGUAAUGGCCCACCAAGGCGACGAUGCCUAGCCGACCUGAGAGGGUGAUCGGCCACACUGGGACUGAGACACGGCCCAGACUCCUACGGGAGGCAGCAGUAGGGAAUCUUCCACAAUGGACGAAAGUCUGAUGGAGCAACGCCGCGUGAACGAUGGAGGCCUUCGGGUCGUAAAGUUCUGUUGUAAGGGAAGAACAAGUGCCGCAGGCAAUAGCGGCACCUUGACGGUACCUUGCGAGAAAGCCACAGCUAACUACGUGCCAGCCGCCGCAGUAACAC
rnacentral:rRNA from 1 species